GGUCCAUACUGCUCCUACACGGUGUAACAGUACUGAGUAGGUCCAUACUGCUCCUACACGGUGUAACAGUACUGAGUAGGUCCAUACUGCUCCUACACGGUGUAACAGUACUGAGUAGGUCCUAACUGCUCCUACACGGUGUAACAGUACUGAGUAGGUCCAAACUGCUCCUACACGGUGUAACAGUACUGAGUAGGUCCAUACUGCUCCUACACGGUGUAACAGUACUGAGUAGGUCCAUACUGCUCCUACACGGUGUAACAGUACUGAGUAGGUCCAUACUGCUCCUACACGGUGUAACAGUACUGAGUAGGUCCAUACUGCUCCUACACGGUGUAACAGUACUGAGUAGGUCCAUACUGCUCCUACACGGUGUAACAGUACUGAGUAGGUCCAUACUGCUCCUACACGGUGUAACAGUACUGAGUAGGUCCAUACUGCUCCUACACGGUGUAACAGUACUGAGUAGGUCCAAACUGCUCCUACAUGGUGUAACAGUACUGAGUAGGUCCAUACUGCUCCUACACGGUGUAACAGUACUGAGUAGGUCCAUACUGCUCCUACACGGUGUAACAGUACUGAGUAGGUCCAUACUGCUCCUACACGGUGUAACAGUACUGAGUAGGUCCAUACUGCUCCUACA